GGUGCCAGCAGCCGCGGUAAUUCCAGCUCCAAUAGCGUAUAUUAAAAUUGUUGCAGUUAAAAAGCUCGUAGUUGAAUUUCUGCUGCAUUGCAUCUUCUUUUUGAUGAGUUGAUGUAUUGUGGCUUAUUUCGGAUGAUACUUGUAUUAUCCGGAUGAUUACUUUGAGAAAAUUAGAGUGCUCAAAGCAGGCUUUUGCCUUGAAUAGUUUAUCAUGGAAUAAUAAAGUAGGACUUUGGUUCUAUUUUGUUGGUUUUAGGUACCAAAGUAAUGGUUAAUAGGAACAGUUGGGGGCAUUCGUAUUUAACUGUCAGAGGUGAAAUUCUUAGAUUUGUUAAAGACGAACUACUGCGAAAGCAUUUGCCAAGGAUGUUUUCAUUAAUCAAGAACGAAAGUUAGGGGAUCGAAGACAAU
rnacentral:rRNA from 1 species